UUUAGUUUAUGGAGGAAAAUCUCAUUUUUCUAUCUGUCACAGAAAUAUGAUGAUUUACUUUGCAUGCUUGUUUGAAUGUUGGAAAGAGUGAAUUGAUCUAUUAAGUUAGGAAAAGCAUUUCAAAAAUACUUGUACUAUAAUUAUAAGGUGGUGGUAAUAUUGUGGCCACUACUUGUUUCAUUAUUCACCAGUUAAUAAAUAAACACCUUGUUUUUUAGAGAGGACAUGUACUCCCAGGAUUCCAUAGAUCUUCUUGCUAACUCAGGACUACAGUUUCAGAAGCAUGAAGAGGAAGGGAUUGACACACUGCACUUUGCAGAGCUGCUUAUGACAUCAGGAGUGGUUCUCUGUGACAAUGUCAAAUGGCUUUCAUUUCAUAGUGGCUAUGAUUUUGGCUAUAUGGUAAAGUUGCUUACAGAUUCUCGUUUGCCAGAAGAGGAACAUGAAUUCUUUCAUAUUCUGAACCUUUUCUUCCCAUCCAUUUAUGAUGUGAAAUACCUGAUGAAGAGUUGCAAAAAUCUUAAGGGAGGUCUUCAGGAAGUUGCUGAUCAGUUGGAUUUGCAGAGG
rnacentral:sRNA from 1 species